GUUAAUCACACGUACGGAUGCUCCCUACGGUAUUUCAUACAGGAACGCAAACUUGAAACAGGUCUUGAGCCGGUGAUUCACUAAGGGAUUCAGGAAAACAAAUGACAACGAUGGCCACUUUUGGAGGGUUUGUCUUUUAUAUCCCAACUUCGUAUGGGUAUAUAGGGGACAAAACCUCAUUAUGUUUUAUGUCAAAAACGAACUUUUGUUAUGUGUAAAUAACUUAGAACUAUGCUAUGUCAAACGUUGUUGAAACUCGAAAACUAUGUUGAAAACUUGUAAUCUUUUGUUGAAAACUAUAUAUCUAUGGCAUCGUUGUUGGUUCAUGUUGUUAAUA